GUUAAGUAAAAAGAUUUUUAAGUCUCCUGUAGCAAAUGAUAAAUGAUGUAGACAUCGAUCUUUUCACUGACUGCAAUAUAAAGACUACAUUCAAUUCAUUGUCAGCAGAAGCAGACAGACUGUCAAGGAAUUAUAGCUAUAUCGAUUAUCUUAUCAAAUUUGCCAAAAUGACAAUUAUGAGGAAAUAGAUUAUAUAUAUGCUAUAAGCCAGAAACAUAAAAGAGUCAAGAAAUUACUUGUUGAUCCAAAGGGUGAACGCAAAUAAAACUUGAAAUCAAGAAUCUGAACAUCAAAUUUCUAAUGACUCGAAAUCUGGAAUCUAAGCAACAAGAAUUGCACUGAAAAUAUUUUAUGAAUCAUUGAAAUCUGAGCAGAUAUUAAGAUUAUUAUAUACAUAUGUAUGUAAAUUCUAUCAUAGAAAUCAUGAACCUUAUAUAGUACAUAUUAUUAUCGAAAUUUGUAUAAAUAUCACAAAUUCAGGAAUUAUUUCUAAUUUGAUAAACUCGCUUAAAAUCUCCAACUUACUUGGCAGAGGCUUGGACCAGAUUCCAAUCGUAACCCUCCAGGACCUUCAUAACGGCGCUGGUGAUGCGCUCAUCCUCCUUGCGUCCGCCUUGGCCGGCGGCGCGUUUCUGCUCGGCCUUCAGUGCAUAGUUGGCCAGGACUAAAGUCUCCACGGGCUUGGCGCGUUCCGUAUUCGUAUUGGCGCUCAUUUCGGUCAACAGACUUUGCCGACGGCUGCGCGGCUUUUGUCAAAGAUACAGUUACAGUUAUACAGUUAUGAUACAGAUACAGAUACAGCUGCUCGGAUCUCUCGGAGACUUGGAUAUACACCCACACGGCUGGCGAGGCGACGCGACGCGACUGACAAGCAAACUGCGACUGAUCUGCGCCUGUUGACUGCUCGGCUCUCGGCAGUGUGUGUGUGUUUAGAUCGUCGGCUCGGCUCGGCUCGGUUGGGCUCGGCGAUCGGAGAUAAGCUCAAGACGCCGUUGGUUGGCUACUCGUCCGUCCGUCCGUUCGUCUUCCCCGGCUGACGAUCCGCGGCGGGGGCGCGCACAUAAAAAUCGCGGUACGCGUGUAAACAUUAACAUGUUCAUGUGAAAUUAGGUGGCCCCAGCCCCACAGAUCCACCGAGCGGGGCCAACGGGGGCAGCGAUCGAGUGACAGUUGCAAGAAAGAAGACAGCCAGAGGGAGAGAGAGAAGGGGAAGAGAGAGAGGGAGUGAGAGAGCGAGAGAGUGGGAAGAUACGUACUGAAAUUAGUAGACACUUUACAACCACAUGUGGAUUUAUGACACCUCGACAAAGAGCGAGCCCGAGGGAGCAGACAGGGCGACGGAGUUGCCCACUUGUUGCAGCUGUAUUUGCGGCAACUCGGCGAUAAGAGCCACAAAAGUGUUCGACAUGGGUAAAGGAUCGUUAAAAAAAAAGGAUAGAAGAAACGCUAAGAACGGGUAGCCAUGAGAAAAUUAUAUCUAUUGAAUAAAAAUCUGGAAUUUGUAAUUAAGAUAUUCUAUUAGAAGCUAUUGGGUAUUAAAUAUUUAAUGUAUAUUUAAA